UACGGGGGGGGCUAGCGUUGCUCGGAAUCACUGGGCGUAAAGCGCACGUAGGCGGACUCUUAAGUCGGUGGUGAAAUCCUGGAGCUCAACUCCAGAACUGCCUUCGAUACUGAGAGUCUCGAGUCCGGGAGAGGUGAGUGGAACUGCGAGUGUAGAGGUGAAAUUCGUAGAUAUUCGCAAGAACACCAGUGGCGAAGGCGGCUCACUGGCCCGGUACUGACGCUGAGACGCGAAAGCGUGGGGAGCGAACAGG
rnacentral:rRNA from 1 species